UACGUAGGGUGCGAGCGUUAAUCGGAAUUACUGGGCGUAAAGCGUGCGCAGGCGGCGCGUUAAGACAGGUGUGAAAGCCCCCGAGCUUAACUUGGGAAUUGCGCUUGUGACUGGCGUGCUGGAGUGUGGCAGAGGGAGGUGGAAUUCCGCGUGUAGCAGUGAAAUGCGUAGAGAUGCGGAGGAACACCGAUGGCGAAGGCAGCCCCCCUGGGCUGACACUGACGCUCAGGCACGAAAGCGUGGGGAGCAAACAGG
rnacentral:rRNA from 1 species